rnacentral:rRNA from 1 species
GAAAGGCGCGCGAUACAGGGUGACAGCCCCGUACACAAAAGCGCAUGUGCUGUGAGCUCGAUGAGUAGGGCGGGACACGUGGUAUCCUGUCUGAAUAUGGGGGGACCAUCCUCCAAGGCUAAAUACUCCUGACUGACCGAUAGUGAACCAGUACCGUGAGGGAAAGGCGAAAAGAACCCCGGCGAGGGGAGUGAAAAAGAACCUGAAACCGUGUACGUACAAGCAGUGGGAGCACAGGUUUACCUG